GCACAAAUUCUCUUGAACUUACUCCUCUUAUCUAACUGAAGUUUUGUAUCCUUUGACCAACAUCUCCCCAACCCCACCCGACCUGCCGCUCCAGCUGGUAAUCACCACUCUACUCUCUGCUUUUGUGAGUUCAAUUUUUUUUUAAGAAGGAACCUGCAUUUUUAACAGCUUCCCGGGAGAUUCUUAUGCACACUGACUGGGGACUGGCUGUGAGACUCUGCUCCCCAUCUCAGAACUUUCCUAGAGUGAGUGAGCGCCUUCACACUAGGAAAAUGUCAGCUCCAAUUUGCCUAGAGAAAGGGGACUGAGGGCCAGAGUGGUGCUAGCUUUGCUCUUUGCUUUUUUCCACUCCCGCCCCGCUUUCUCUAGAUAUGCUCACUGCAUAGCCUCAGGAAGCCUAAAGAUAUUUUCCAACCAUUUGUGCUUUGACUCAAGAAUUUCCCUUCAUCUUCCUUGAGCUUUGAACCUCUUGCCUAGUUGGUUCUCACUUUUCCAGACCUUUUUGGAGGUGCAUUCCAGUCCUUUCCUCUUAUACAAUCUCAUUUUGGAUAUAUCGACCUUGGUGCUGACCUGGUAUGCACCGCCCUGUCCAGGGCCUUGAUUGGUUCAUAUGAGUUAGAGGUAACUCUGUAUCAAGUGCUUGGUUGUUCUUGAGGCCGUGUUCCUGAGGAAUAAAGAAGAUUAAAUAUUGUGUGCUUUUAUGCAAGUCACUAAACUCUCUAUACUUCAGUUUCCUCAUCUAAAAAAUAGAGAUAGUAAUAGUAUCUUAUCUCGUAGGUUAUUAUGAAGAUUAAGUAAUAUACAUAAAGCCCUCAGGAAAAGCAGCACUUUAUAGUGAGUAUCUGGUGAGAAGGCAGCCGUCUGUGAACCAGAACGAGGGCCCUCACCAAGAAGUGACCAGGCUGGCACCCUGAUCCUGGACUUCUGGCAUCUGGAACGCAGUUGACAUUUGAAAUACCUACUAUCUUCAAGGAAGCCUCACCUCCAAUGAGAGAAGUAUGACCCUACUCUGUGUUCACAAGCAGACAAGAAUGUGAAAACAGCUGUUCAACAGUGGUACAAAAAACCAUUGCAGGGGUUGUGUCAUUACAUUUCUAAAUUAUAGAAUUAUGUCUUUAUACUUGCAAAUUAAAAUUUCUAGAUAUUUUU